GAUGAACGCUAGCGGCAGGCUUAAUACAUGCAAGUCGAGGGCCUAGCAAUAGGACCGGCGCACGGGUGCGUAACACGUAUGCAACCUGCCUGUAUCUGGGGGAUAGCCCGAGGAAACUCGGAUUAAUACCGCAUAGUAUAACUGAAGAGCAUUUUUUGGUAUUAAAGAUUUAUCGGUUAAAGAUGGGCAUGCGGCUGAUUAGGUAGUUGGUGAGGUAAUGGCUCACCAAGCCAACGAUCAGUAGGGGGUCUGAGAGGAUGUCCCCCCCANACUGGUACUGAGACACGGUCCAGACUCCUACGGGAGCAGCAGUGGGAAUAUUGCACAAUGGACGAAAGUCUGAUGCAGCAACG
rnacentral:rRNA from 1 species